UACGAAGGGGGCUAGCGUUGUUCGGAAUUACUGGGCGGAACGCGCAAGUAGGCGGAUUAUUAAGUCAGAGGUGAAAUCCCGGAGCUCAACUCCGGAACUGCCUUUGAUACUGGUAGUCUUGAGGCCGAGAGAGGUAAGUGGAACUCCUAGUGUAGAGGUGGAAUUCGUAGAUAUUAGGAAGAACACCAGUGGUGAAGGCGGCUUACUGGCUCGGAACUGACGCUGAGGUGCGAAAGCGUGGUGAGCAAACAGG
rnacentral:misc_RNA from 1 species